rnacentral:rRNA from 1 species
UACGGGGGGAGCAAGCGUUGUUCGGAUUUACUGGGCGUAAAGGGCGCGUAGGCGGUAGCACAAGUCAGUUGUGAAAUCUCCGGGCUUAACUCGGAAAGGUCAACUGAUACUGUGCGACUAGAGUGCAGAAGGGGCAACUGGAAUUCUCGGUGUAGCGGUGAAAUGCGUAGAUAUCGAGAGGAACACCUGCGGCGAAGGCGGGUUGCUGGGCCGAUACUGACGCUGAGGAGCGAAAGCGUGGGGAGCGAACAGG